rnacentral:rRNA from 1 species
AGUUUGUUCUGGCUCAGAUUGAACGCUGGCGGGAUGCUUUACACAUGCAAGUCGAACGGCAGCACGGACUUCGGUCUGGUGGCGAGUGGCGAACGGGUGAGUAAUGUAUCGGAACGUACCUAGUAGCGGGGGAUAACUACGCGAAAGCGUAGCUAUUACCGCAUACGCCCUUCGGGGAAAGCGGGGGGACCUUCGGGCCUCGCACUAUUAGAGCGGCCGAUAUCGGAUUAGCUAGUUGGUGGGGUAACGGCUCGCAAGGCGACGAUCCGUAGCUGGUUUGAAGGACGACCAGCCACACUGGGACUGAGACACGGCCCAGACUCCUACAGGAGGCAGCGGUGGGGAAUUUUGGACAAUGGAAACCUGAUCCAGCCGCUCCGUGUACGAUGAAGGCCUUCGGGUUGUAAGCACUUUGGCGGGAAAAGAAACGGCACAGGAUAAUACCCCGUGCAACUGACAGUACCUGCAGGUAACACCGGCUAACUACGUGCCCAGCAGCCGCGAGGCAGCCCGUAGGGUGCAAGCGUUAAUCAGAUUACUGGGCGUAAAGCGUGCGCAGGCGGUUCGGAAGAAGAUGCUGAAAUCCAGAGCUUAACUUUGGAACUGCAUUUUUAACUACCGAGCUAGAGUGUGUCAGAGGGAGGUGGAAUUCCACGCGAUGUAGCAGUGAAAUGCGUAGAUAUGCGGAGGAACUGCCGAUGGCAGGCAGCCUCCUGGGAUAACACUGUGCAUCAUGCACAAACGUGGGAGGUGACAGGAUUAGAUCUGCCCUGGUAGUCCACGCCCUAAACGAUGUCAACUAGCUGUUGAGACAGCCCUGGGCCUUGGUAGCACAGCUAGCACCAGCGUGAAGUUGACCGCCUGGGGGAAUACGGUGCAAGAUUAAAACUCAAAGGAAUUGACGGGGACCCGCACAAGCAGUGGAUGAUGUGGAUUAAUUCGAUGCAACGCGAAAAACCUACCCUUGACGCUGUCUGGAAUCCGAAGAGAUUUGGGGUGCUCGCAAGAGAACCGGAACACCGGAGUGCUGCAUGGCUGUCGUCAGCUCGUGUCGUGAGAUGUUGGGUUAAGUCCUGCCGGCGCAACCCUUGUCAUUAGUUGCUACGAAAGGGCACUCUAAUGGGAGCCGCCGAUGGUGACCGGAAAGAUUGAGAUGGCGUCAAGUCUCAUGGCCCUUGUGGUGAGGCUUCACACGUCAUACAAUGGUCGAGACAGAGGUCGCCAACCCCGCGAGGGGGUGCCAAUCCCGAAACCGAUCGUAGUCGGAUCGCAGUCUGCAACUCGACUGCGUGAAGUCGAUCCGUGUGUCGCGGAUCAGCAUGUCGCGGUGAAUACGUUCCAGGGUCUGUACACCGCCCGUCACACCAUGGGAGUGGGUUUUACCGAAGUAGUUAGCCUAACCGUAAGGAGGGCGAUUACCACAGUAGGAUUCAUGACUGAAAUUUAGGAGAUAAUAACAAAGGCAA